UAUGGCGGCCCACCACGUGAUACUAAUCCGUGUGUAUCCCUCCGGUUUGCGGCCUUUCUUCAUCACAACAUCUCUUGAUCUCAGCAAAGCAGUAAUCCGAAUAUGGUCCUGAUGGUCUGAUGGUCCUGAUGGUCCUGAUGCUGCAGAUGUGGAAUUGGGUCUGACUGAGAGCUCGUCCACUGCACGACCUCCUACCCCUGCGACCAAGCACCGAUCGGACGGAACGGCUGUCAAUCGCGCUGUAUCCACGCUCCGAUGUAUAAGCAGACGGCGGCCCACUCCUCCCUAAGAAGUCCACUGUGCUUCCUGAAACACAGAGACCGUUGUCCGCCGCAGGACCAGAUGGCUGGAGUCCCGAUGGCCUUUGACCUCUUAGGUCAUCGUCGUUGUUGUUGUUGUUGUUGUGUUAAAAGCUCAACUCCUCUUUUGCUUCGGGACUGCUUCAGAAGCACAAACGGUUCUCAGUAAUGCCUUCUCCUCACAGCUCACGGCAGUCCGUCAGUCUGAGUGCUGUAAAACAUUUUUCAUGAUGUAAUGUAAUGUCAGAAACAACCCAGGGGUAAUAAUAAUAAGAUGUUUUGUCAACAUAUCAGUUCUUUAUGAUCGGGCCGACAUCCUGGGUCUGUGCAUUACCAUGAGCAUCUUCCUGCCGACUGACGCUGAGAUGAUAGAAGCCCUGAUGACACCAUUAAACCGACCCCCAGUCGUCAGUUAAUGAACGCCAUUAUCCUGCAUCAAUUUGCAAUGAUAAAGUAGAUUCUAAUGCUGGACUCUUACAUCCAGACUGAUAACAAGACGACAAUCAUGCAGCCGCUGCAAGUCAAAUGGUUUUUCAGCUCUUGUCCAUUUGUCCUUACGUGACUGCUCUCUGCAACUGGUAUGAAUAACUUUUCAAGAAGUGAUUUAAUAGUGUUGAGGUGAAGUGUGAUAUAUAUGAAUAUUUUUUGAGCCUCUCCAGGAGCCUGUGGCUCUAUGGAUAAAUUCAGUCUAGAAUGAAAUACCUAAUCAACUUCCAGAUGAUAUGAUAAACAGAGAUUCAGUGUUGGAGAAGCGAUGACCCUGACUUUUUGUACAACACCAUCAACAAGAGGCCAAAAGUUUUCACUCAUCUUGUGAAAUACCUCAACUCCCAUUCGAUGGACUGGCACCAACAUUCUCAUUUGCCCCCAUAUGUUGAUUCCUCUGACCUUUUUUCUUCUUCUAGCGCCACCAUGUGGUUGUAAUUUGUGGGGUUUCUUUGAGCGAAUGAUCUAUUCAUUAUUUAACUAUUGACUGGAUGAUUGGAAGGAAAAAAAAGAUUUUUACGUCUUUGGUGAUGCAUUAUUAUUAUGAUUCUUUAGGUUCCUGUUUGUGUCCUUCUCCAUGUACCCCUUGGACUUACAGUAGCCUACUCGCUUUUUAAAUUUGUCUUGUUUGCCGUGCAACGAAACACCAGCGCAAAAUCCCAAACACAAUUCUGAUUCUUAUCAUUUUUCAGGUCAAAAUCUGACUUUCGUCUGUGGCUGUGGAUUCUUAGUCGUACAUAAAACCUUUGAAAUAUAUUUUUGUUGUAUAAUUUCAGACUGUCUUUGUUUUGGCUUGGGCUUUAGCAUAUACAGUAUGUUAUCCAACAUCACCACGGUUAGAUUAAACAUCGUAGAAUAAACCAACAGGAGGUCAAUUCACAUCACAUGUGCAUAUUAAUCAUGAGCAAAACCCCAACUGGAUUGACCAGGUUUUCUUAGGACAACACAGACGUGCGAUGUCUGUCUAAAUUCCUGAAGAGACAAUCUGCCCGCAGCCACCACGGAGGGACAUGCACUAAAAAGCCCACUUAAGCAGCAGAACCUUUAGAGUGCAUGGAAAGUGCAUCCAUGUAAAUAUUGAACACACACUUACUCACACACACACACGCACAGAGAGUGUUUGGACUCCUCCUGUGGAUCAAUAUUGAAGCAAUCUGGACGCUAAUCUCAUUUGCACUUCUGUUUUCUUCUGCUGCCGCAGACCGACGGCGUAUGUUCUGCAGCGAAAAUCGCCAGAAAUUCCGCCUUUGGAAAGAUUUUUCUCUGCUCACAUGAAUAUUUUAGGCGGGCAGGUUUUCAUGCGCUGUCAGAUCAGUUUUAGAGAAAUAGCCAAUAUGCA